CGCCCACAGCCCGGCCCGAGUCGCGGGGCCCGAGCGACAGCGACGGCGCCGGCCGGGGCCGCGGCGCGCGGAAGCCACUUUGCACGGUCAGCGCCGGGCACAAGUUUGUUCCGCGGCUCCCGGGGGCCUGGGCGCUGAGGGAGAAUCGCGCUGAGGGGGCCAGGAGGAGGGGGAGAGGGAGGCGCCGAAGGGCACAAGAGUGGGGAAAAGUGCGGAAAGAAGCAACAGCCGCUCCACCCGGGACCAGAAAAGUGGCCAGUGCGUCCCGGCCGCCCGCCCUGCGCCGGGGAUGCGGCGGCGUCGGCGCCGGCUAACGGUCCAGGGAGGCGGCAGGGGCGGCGGGAGCCGCUAGGCGGAGAGAGACCAGGGACGCCUGGUUUCCCCCCAAGCGAACCGGGAUGGGAAGUGACUUCAAUGAGAUUGAACUUCAGCUGGAUUGAAAGAGAGGCUAGAAGU
rnacentral:lncRNA from 1 species